rnacentral:rRNA from 1 species
AUUGAACGCUGGCGGCAUGCCUUACACAUGCAAGUCGAACGGCAGCACGGGUGCUUGCACCUGGUGGCGACCGGCAAACGGGUGCGGAACACGUACACAAUCUACCUUUAUCUGGGGUAUAGCCCGAAGAAAUUCGGAUUAAUCCCCCAUAGUAUAUUAGAGUGGCAUCACUUCGAUAUUAAAACUCCGGUGGAUAAAGAUGAGUGUGCGUCCCAUUAGCUAGUUGGUAGGGUAACGGCCUACCAAGGCAACGAUGGGUAGCUGGUGUGAGAGCACGACCAGCCACACGGACACUGAGACACGGGCCCGACUCCUACGGGAGGCAGCAGUGAGGAAUAUUGGUCAAUGGACGCAGUCUGAACCAGCCAUGCCGCGUGAAGGAUGAAGGCCUUCUGGGUUGUAAACUUCUUUUAUUGGGGAAGAAAAUUACGGUUUCUACUGUAACCGACGGUACCCAAGGAAUAAGCACCGGCUAACUCCGUGCCAGCAGCCGCCGUAA